rnacentral:rRNA from 1 species
CGAGCACGCGCGUGUGGCAUAUCAAUAAGCGGAGGAAAAGAAACUAACAAGGAUUCCCUUAGUAACGGCGAGUGAAGCGGGAAGAGCUCAAAUUUGAAAUCUUCAAGGUUCUACCUUGACGAAUUGUAGUUUAUAGAAGUGUUUUCUGUUAGUGGAGUGGCAAAAGUUCUUUGGAAUAGGACAUCAUAGAGGGUGAGAAUCCCGUAUUUGGUCAUUCCUCCUAGCGUUGUGAUACACUUUCAACGAGUCGGAUUGUUUGGGAAUGCAGUCCAAAAUGGGUGGUAAAUUUCAUCUAAAGCUAAAUAUUGGCGAGAGACCGAUAGCGAACAAGUACCGUGAGGGAAAGAUGAAAAGAACUUUGAAAAGAGAGUUAAACAGUACGUGAAAUUGUCAAAAGGGAAGCGUUUGACACCAGUGUUGUUUUCUCGAAAAUCAAUUAAAAAUGACCGGGAUGUUGUGUUGUAUUGACUUUAUCAGCUUUCUGCACUUUUUUCUUAUCUUUUUUAAUGCACUUUUCGUUUAACAAGUCAACAUCAAUUUCUUUUGUUGUAAAAGAGUCAUUGGAAGGUGGCUUUUUCUUCGGAAAAAGUGUUUAUAGCCUUUGGCUUCUGCAAUCGGAGAGAUUGAGGUCUGCAGCGUAGAUCCUUCGGGGUUAGAUACAUUUGUGCUAAGCUAUAGUUCUUUAUAGACAACUUGUUGACUAUAAUCAAUCCUGUAACUUACUCGCUUAUGCUAUUUUACCUACGCUUAGGAUGUUGAGCGCAUGUCUCUCUCU